GCGGAAGUGGCUCAGUGGUAGAGCAUCUCCUUGCCAAGGAGAAGGUCGUGGGUUCGAAUCCCAUCUUCCGCUCCA
rnacentral:tRNA from 1 species